rnacentral:lncRNA from 1 species
AAUGACCCCCUAAGAUUCAUCUGUUGAAGGCCCAGUCCCCAAGGCAGCAAUGUUCAGAGUUGGGACUUUGGGGAGUUAAUUGAAUCACAAAUCACGAGGGCUUUAGCCUCAUCCAUGGAUUGAUCUGCUGAUAGAUUAGGAUUUUAAUGGCAUUGUUGGGAGGAGGUGGGAACUGUAGGAGGUGGGACCUCACUGGGUGAAGUAGGCCUCUGGGGCGUGCAUCCUGCGUGGUUACAGCUUGUCCCCACCCACUUCCCUGUGUUCUCUCUCUCUCUCUCUCUCUCUCUCUCUCUCUCUCUCUCUCUCUCUCUCUCCUUCCUGGCUGCCACGAGGAGACAGCUUUUCUCUGCUGCACCCUUCUGCCUUGAUGUCCUACUUCAUCUCAGGCCCAGGUUACCAGGGACCAAAACCUCUGAAAACAUUAACCUAAAUAAACCUUUCCUCCUCUAAGUUGUUUUUCUGAGAUAUUUUUUCACAAUGUUGGACAAGGGACUAACCUAGAUGUCCCCAGGACAGCAAUGUCUACCUUAAGGCUGCCUUGUUUUUAACCUUAGCAUUGCCUGUCCAAAUUCUGUUUUCUUAUUUUUAGCCUGGUGUGUCUUUACCAUCCCUCUACUUUCUAACAUUCUGCUCUGUCCUGUGUCGCAUUGUUUUGUUACAUGAUUCUUUCUACAUGUUUAGACCUUUUUUACAGACAAUAAUAUGAACUUGACAAACCUUUUCACAGAUUUUGAUAAUAUUUUUCAUAUUUCUUACUUUUUCAUCCUUUAAACACCAUUCAGGAUUCUGAGUGGGUAAGAAAAAAGGUAAAUAUUUCCUGGUGGAGAGACAGCAGAUAUUAU